rnacentral:rRNA from 1 species
AAAUUGAAGAGUUUGAUCAUGGCUCAGAUUGAACGCUGGCGGCAGGCCUAACACAUGCAAGUCGAGCGGAAACGAGUUAUCUGAACCUUCGGGGAACGAUAACGGCGUCGAGCGGCGGACGGGUGAGUAAUGCCUAGGAAAUUGCCUUGAUGUGGGGGAUAACCAUUGGAAACGGUGGCUAAUACCGCAUAAUGCCUACGGGCCAAAGAGGGGGACCUUCGGGCCUCUCGCGUCAAGAUAUGCCUAGGUGGGAUUAGCUAGUUGGUGAGGUAAUGGCUCACCAAGGCGACGAUCCCUAGCUGGUCUGAGAGGAUGAUCAGCCACACUGGAACUGAGACACGGUCCAGACUCCUACGGGAGGCAGCAGUGGGGAAUAUUGCACAAUGGGCGAAAGCCUGAUGCAGCCAUGCCGCGUGUAUGAAGAAGGCCUUCGGGUUGUAAAGUACUUUCAGUUGUGAGGAAGGGGGUGUCGUUAAUAGCGGCAUCUCUUGACGUUAACAACAGAAGAAGCACCGGCUAACUCCGUGCCAGCAGCCGCGGUAAUACGGAGGGUGCGAGCGUUAAUCGGAAUUACUGGGCGUAAAGCGCAUGCAGGUGGUUCAUUAAGUCAGAUGUGAAAGCCCGGGGCUCAACCUCGGAACUGCAUUUGAAACUGGUGAACUAGAGUACUGUAGAGGGGGGUAGAAUUUCAGGUGUAGCGGUGAAAUGCGUAGAGAUCUGAAGGAAUACCAGUGGCGAAGGCGGCCCCCUGGACAGAUACUGACACUCAGAUGCGAAAGCGUGG